CCUACGGGGGGCAGCAGUGAGGAAUAUUGGUCAAUGGGCUUACGCCUGAACCAGCCAAGUCGCGUGAGGGAAGACUGCCCUAUGGGUUGUAAACCUCUUUUGUCAGGGAGCAAGUGGCGCUACGUGUAGCGUUAUCGAGAGUACCUGAAGAAAAAGCAGCGGCGAACCCCGUGCCAGCAGCCGCGGUAAUACGGAGGAUGCGAGCGUUAUCCGGAUUUAUUGGGUUGAAAGGGUGCGUAGGCGGAAUGCCAAGUCAGCGGUAAAAUCGCGGGGCUCAACCUCGCUCCGCCGUUGAAACGGGCGUUCUUGCGUGGGCGAGACGUCUGCGGCAUGCGUGGUGUAGCGG
rnacentral:rRNA from 1 species